rnacentral:rRNA from 1 species
GUUCGGAAUUAUUGGGCGUAAAGCGCGUGUAGGCGGUUGUUAAGUCUGAUGUGAAAGCCCGGGGCUCACCCCCGGAAGUGCAUUGGAAACUGACAGACUGGAGUCCCGGAGAGGAGGGUGGAAUUCCUGGUGUAGCGGUGAAAUGCGUAGAUAUCAGGAGGAACACCGGUGGCGAAGGCGGCCCUCUGGACGGUGACUGACGCUGAGACGCGAAAGCGUGGGGAGC